CCAAGAGUGAGCCUGGGAGCUCAGGUCAGCAAUGCUAGGGAGAUGUCCUACUACAUGCACUGAAAGAAGUCUCAGGAGAAUAUCUUUGUUAUCCAAACAUCACAAGCACUGGGGAGGACCAAGCUGCCUUUGUGGAAUGUGAACUAAAUGUGGU
rnacentral:lncRNA from 1 species